AUGGACUCGCGGCCUAUCAGCUUGUUGGUGAGGUAAUGGCUCACCAAGGCGUCGACGGGUAGCCGGCCUGAGAGGGCGACCGGCCACACUGGGACUGAGACACGGCCCAGACUCCUACGGGAGGCAGCAGUGGGGAAUAUUGCACAAUGGGCGAAAGCCUGAUGCAGCGACGCCGCGUGAGGGAUGAAGGCCUUCGGGUUGUAAACCUCUUUCAGUAGGGAAGAAGCGAAAGUGACGGUACCUGCAGAAGAAGCGCCGGCUAACUACGUGCCAGCAGCCGCGGUAAUACGUAGGGCGCAAGCGUUGUCCGGAAUUAUUGGGCGUAAAGAGCUCGUAGGCGGUUUGUCGCGUCUGGUGUGAAAACUCAAGGCUCAACCUUGAGCUUGCAUCGGGUACGGGCAGACUAGAGUGUGGUAGGGGUGACUGGAAUUCCUGGUGUAGCGGUGGAAUGCGCAGAUAUCAGGAGGAACACCGAUGGCGAAGGCAGGUCACUGGGCCACUACUGACGCUGAGGAGCGAAAGCAUGGGGAGCGAACAGGAUUAGAUACCCUGGUAGUCCAUGCCGUAAACGUUGGGCACUAGGUGUGGGGCUCAUUCCACGAGUUCCGCGCCGCAGCUAACGCAUUAAGUGCCCCGCCUGGGGAGUACGGCCGCAAGGCUAAAACUCAAAGGAAUUGACGGGGGCCCGCACAAGCGGCGGAGCAUGCGGAUUAAUUCGAUGCAACGCGAAGAACCUUACCAAGGCUUGACAUACACCGGAAUCAUGCAGAGAUGUGUGCGUCUUCGGACUGGUGUACAGGUGGUGCAUGGUUGUCGUCAGCUCGUGUCGUGAGAUGUUGGGUUAAGUCCCGCAACGAGCGCAACCCUCGUCCUAUGUUGCCAGCACGUCAUGGUGGGGACUCAUAGGAGACUGCCGGGGUCAACUCGGAGGAAGGUGGGGAUGACGUCAAAUCAUCAUGCCCCUUAUGUCUUGGGCUUCACGCAUGCUACAAUGGCCGGUACAAAGGGCUGCGAUACCGCGAGGUGGAGCGAAUCCCAAAAAGCCGGUCUCAGUUCGGAUUGGGGUCUGCAACUCGACCCCAUGAAGUCGGAGUCGCUAGUAAUCGCAGAUCAGCAACGCUGCGGUGAAUACGUUCCCGGGCCUUGUACACACCGCCCGUCAAGUCACGAAAGUCGGUAACACCCGAAGCCGGUGGCCUAACC
rnacentral:rRNA from 1 species